GAUGAACGCUGGCGGCGUGCCUAAUACAUGCAAGUCGAGCGAACAGACGAGGAGCUUGCUCCUCUGACGUUAGCGGCGGACGGGUGAGUAACACGUGGAUAACCUACCUAUAAGACUGGGAUAACUUCGGGAAACCGGAGCUAAUACCGGAUAAUAUAUUGAACCGCAUGGUUCAAUAGUGAAAGACGGUUUUGCUGUCACUUAUAGAUGGAUCCGCGCCGCAUUAGCUAGUUGGUAAGGUAACGGCUUACCGAGGCAACGAUGCGUAGCCGACCUGAGCGGGUGAUCGGCCACACUGGAACUGAGACACGGUCCAGACUCCUACGGGAGGCAGCAGUAGGGAAUCUUCCGCAAUGGGCGAAAGCCUGACGGAGCAACGCCGCGUGAGUGAUGAAGGUCUUCGGAUCGUAAAACUCUGUUAUUAGGGAAGAACAAAUGUGUAAGUAACUAUGCACGUCUUGACGGUACCUAAUCAGAAAGCCACGGCUAACUACGUG
rnacentral:rRNA from 1 species